GAUAGCAGAUUUUCCAAGAACACGCCAGCAUCCUUUGGUAUCAUAACAACAGGUAUGCCUAUAUCUAAAUCAGUUUCAUCUGCGUCACAGACCAUCUCAUAAAGCUCUGAAGAAACAAGAGGAGAGCAUCAGACAAACAAAGUUAAAUAGUGAUCAACAAGUACUGCAGAAAUCACAUCCCCUAUUCUGUAUUAUGAAUCAACAUGUACUGGUGUACCACUCACCAUUUUCGUCAUUUACGAUAAGAACGGCAGAAGCGCCAGCUGCCUCUGCAUUAAUAGCUUUUGCAGUAAACGUGCAAUUGCCUCGAUUAACCAAUAUGACAUCUCCUGCAAGCUAAUAAUUUUAACAGAAAUCGGUGUUAUGGAUAACUUUAUAGGAUAAAAUGGCAGUACCAAUAGAGAAAACGAAAGAUAUUAUAUAUAUAUAUAUAUAUAUAUAUAUUCAAAGGAAAAACCUUGUUCUUUGGUGUAGUACAACAAUUUUGGGGAUCUGAAAGAGUGAGAUGUGUUUUCCUAGCAUUCUUCUUAUCUGAUCCAACAGUGGCGCCAAAUCUUGCCCCAACACCACCAAAUUCAGCACCCUCUUGCCCGCUCACCGACGCAAGCACUUUAACCUAACAAAACGAAUCGCAUGAUCAGCAUUCAGCAGCUAAAUCACACUAUACAAAAAGAGUUGCUGCUCAAAAAGAGGCUUCAAAAUCUAAAGGAUCUACAACUUCUUCCUAGAAACCAUUCUACCAAUCUAAAGUAAACGCAUUUUGCAGAAACCUAAGAAUCCAGAAAUGCAAUGACAGGAACCAACUCAAAAAUGAAGAAUUUAAACCUUAUUAAUGUUCUUAGUUCACCCUCUGAAUUUAUCGAAAACCUAAAAACAACUACAAAACUCAACUGCGAACUACAUAGACAAAAUUGAUCCUUCCAAAUAUGACAGAUUCAAAGAGAAACCCGAUAAAUAAAGAAUAACUACGAGGUGAAAGCACAAGAUCAUGAAGUAAGAAGUAAUCAGACCUUCAACCAUUUCCGCUAGCUAACUCCCUUAAAUGAAUCAGACCGACAAAGUGCAAAAAAUGAACCGACAAAAAGCUAGAGCAACCACAUCCCGGUUGGGCAAGACUCGAGAAAGAAUCAAAAGCAGCAUUACUGAUUGAAUUAAUCAAAAUGUUUACCAGAGCGAAGUCAUUGUCACAGCCAGGUCUCUUUGGAGCUGAAUCAUCGUCGUGAACUACGUCCCCUGCUAAGACAGGAUACGGAGAAGAUAAGAGCGAAAUCAGAGCAGCAAAACAGACCACCAAACUCAGCUUAUGCAGAUCCAUGGAGUCGUUCUUCAAGUUGUCUGCCUCUGCAUCACCGGAUUCAGAGACGACUGCUAGAAUGCAGAAAACUGCCUCGUUUAAAGUGGUAGUUAAAAUAUUAUUUUUAAUUUGGAACUGAUCGAGAUACCAGACGUUCACCCUUUGCCUGUCAAAUGUUUAUCAUUUGCGGUGACACGGUGUCGGGUUGGAUGUAUGGUUCGUAUGAACUGUUCAUACAACUCUGCGACAACAAAUUUGUUAUACAGAGAAAUAGUUUUUUUUUACGGGUAUACAUAGUUGUUUCAUCUGUGUUGAACCAAUAAACUGAAGACCUGGCCGAAAAGAUUCCAACGAUUCAAUAGAUCAGCCGAAAAUAUUCGAGCGAUUCAAUAGAUCGGCCGAACGAUUGAUCCAAUUCUAACAACACUGGUUAGAGCAAAUGAGGAGGUUGAUUGGCCACCCUACAUAGCAGGAUAAUCCAAGUAACUGGAAAAUUCAGUUGAAUAAUCAUGGUUACUGACUUAUAAAAUCAUAAUGUUUGUGCUGUCAGUACCAGGAAUGUAAUAAAAAGUACUUAGCAAUGCUAAUCAUUCCUUAAUUAUUCUCAGAGAGAUUGUUAAUAGCAGAUAACACAGAAGAACCUAUUUUCUCGAUGUAUUUUACAAUGAAUAACCGAAAGCCAAAUGAAGAUAGAUACAAGUCCUGCACUCUGCUACAAAAUCAAAAUGAAUACUGCUACCUCAUAGAGAAGUUGUAUAAACUAUAAAGGAUCACCCUAAGCAGCUUUUCUUCUUCAACGGCAGAUUCUUUGGCACUCCGUGCAGACCAAUAGGAUGCACAUAAAACAGUGCCAACAGCCAUCAACCACAGGAACACUUCGGAUAACUCAAUUAGUGGCCUAUCUGGAGAGUACAUCUGAACGGACACUGCAAAUAUGAAGAGAGAAGAGGAGUGUCACGGCUGUUGUGCUAGAAAUAUACUUUUUCAAUUAGGAAUACUGGACAAGAAAGACAAAAUGCGCACCUAGACCGUCAAAAUACAGUGAAAAGAAAACACAUAUUAGGAAAAAACAAGAGCUUUACCUGAUGCAUUGCUUGAUAGCAGUUUUUCCAAGAACACACCCGCAUCUUUAGGUAUCAUAACAACAGGUAUGCCUAUAUCUAAAUCUGUUUCAUCUGCGUCACAGACCAUCUCAUAAAGCUCUGACAAAAAGAAAGGAGAGCACCAGACAGUUAAAUAGAGAUAAAAAAGUACUGCAGAAAUCACAUCCUCCAUUCUGUAACAGCUACCAGAUGAAAAUAAUCGGCGAUAUGAAUCAACAUAUACUGCUGUACCACUCACCAU
rnacentral:lncRNA from 1 species